rfam:Oryza glumipatula chromosome 6, whole genome shotgun sequence.
UACAACGUUUGACUCUUUGUCUUAUUUAAAUUUUUUUUAUGAUUAGUAUUUUUUUAGAUGAUAAAAGAUGAAUAGUACUUUAUGCGCAACUAAUAUUGUUUAAUUUUUUCAUAAAAUUUUCAAACAAGACAGAUGGUUAAACGUUGGACACAGAAACC